rnacentral:rRNA from 1 species
UACGUAGGGGGCAAGCGUUGUCCGGAUUUAUUGGGCGUAAAGAGCGUGUAGGCGGCCAGGUAGGUCUGCUGUGAAAACUCGAGGCUUAACCUCGAGAUGUCGGCGGAAACCAUCGUGCGUAGACGUCGAAGAGGAGAAUGGAAUUCCCGGUGUAGCGGUGAAAUGCGCAGAUAUCGGGAAGAACACCCGUGGCGAAGGCGGUUCUCUGGGACGGUACUGACGCUGAGACGCGAAAGCGUGGGGAGCGAACAGG